CAUCAGAGUUGCUGAUUUAGCAGGGCCAGCGUAGGGCAGAGAAAUAUAUUUUUCACACUUGCUCCAAGUGAUUCGUAUAAAUAGGUCUGGGGAGUAGUUUGGAGAAUAGUAAGUUAGAGAAUAUUUAUUCAAGAAAUAUUCAUUGAGCAACUUCUAUCAUGCUGCAUGCUGACAAAACGCGGGGAUUAGAUCCUUCUGGCCUGCCGAAGCCCGCUGAGAACACAAAGGCACGCACGGAUAAACCCCAGAGGAGGGGGGCAGGCUCCCAUCAAGAUGAACAUUCCAGUGGAGAAGCCAGUGGCAGGCCCACCCAUCACCUGACAUCAUCCCUGUGAAUCAGGCACCAUCCUGUUGCCUGAGAAGCCACAAGUCUCAUUUGGCAAGAGUAUGGAUCCACAGCCGCAUUCAACUUUUCUAUAGUGUCUCUUGUGCCAAAGAUCCAAAGCUUCCUUGACGAAUUGUUUGAAGUGUGGCAUCCUCUCAGCCCCAAUCUUGCUCUGAAGCUCUGGGUACUGGAUAAUUAGAGACAAACCAAGAAUUUCUUAAAGAAGGAAUGAGACAAGCCAGCCAACGAGCCAAGAGAAAUUUCUGUUGUCACUUUCUUUCAGUGUGAUUUCCCCAGCAGCUGCUCUUUCCACAGCCUCAGCAGGAAGGUUGUGGCUGAGCAGAGAGCACAGCGGCCUCUGGGCCUGGGGCAGCAGCCAUGGUGUCCAGCUCUGAGUCUGCGGAGGCUUUUGUUCAAUUAUUGAUGUCUGGGGAAGGAAGCCUGGGCUGACUAUGCUGAGAUGGCUGCCGAGACCCAAAUGAAGCGGGGAAAGCUCCAGGAAGGGAGAAGAGGGGGCCUAGUGAGGUCAGUCCAUGUUUAUUGACGUGAAAACAUGUCCAGGAGAGAUUGAACUUUUAACUCUUGGAUCAGAAAGGCAUGCCCAGGACUGGUGUUCAUGUGAGCAGAGGAGGACAGUAUGAACUGAAAGACACCAAGCCUUGAGAAUUCCACUCUUCAUGCUUGCAAGCCUAGGAUUACCAGGUGAAUGAACUCAAGUAAGCUUUCUGGAGUGGCCAUGGGAAAGAGAACCACAGCUCCCCAGCUUGCCCUCCAACUGACUGCCAAGCCCUAGACGUAUAAUUGAGGCCAUCUUAGACAUCAAGCUCCAUCUAAUCCACGAGCUAACUACAAACUGCAUGAGUGAGCCCAGCUCUGUCUGCCGUACUUCACAGUAUGUAGCACGUUCUGCAUUUGGUUAUAAGUCUGAGUACUUGUUUUAUACUCUAUUUACAGAAAAAGGGUUCUAUUUAUCUUGGAGUCCCAUAUGGUACCUUAUAUGGUGAUUGGCACAUGGUAAACACUCAAUAAAUGUUUAUUGCAUUGAAAAAUUUUACUUGCCAAAUUAUACAAGCAAUGGUAGAGGAUGAAGAGCUCAUUUUCGCUGGGUGGUCAGGGGAGGAUCUGUAGAAAACUUGGAUUCAAACAAGUUUUUAAAAAUAGGAAGGAUUUGGAGAGACGGAGAAGAGAGAGAGGGAAUCCCAGGAAGACACGAAUAAAAACAGACUGGAACAUGCAUGACUAUUGAGGAGGCGGUCAGAAUCAAAUGGUCUGGCUGCAGCAGAAGACUGAUGGCAAGAUAGAAAUGUUUCUCCUGCUAUUAUAAAAGUGAUGUAAAGAGCUGGAGGGUCUACCCAUGGAACUGAUCCUGAGGUAGAUGGAAAGUUAGGAUGGGGUGCCAUUGACAAGGCACUGCUGACAGUGGAAGUGGGCCUGUGAUAUUCAAAGGUGAAUGUCAUCUAUCUGCUCUGUCUUUCGAGGUUUGUUUUCUUCCCCAUUAUUUUUCUUUUUAACUUUCGCAAAUUGGCAAUGAGAUGCAUCUGGUGGAAAUGAGUCUUUAAGUCAGUCUGUCCACGUUUUAAGAGUAAAAAUAGAUUCCCCCCACACUGCAUAGCCGUUAAACUCAUACCCCACCCAGAUAAGGCCUGGCUUGAAGCCAGAACUGGCAACACACAUUGAGGCCAUCGAAUAUAUAAAUUCCUUUCAGGGGUCUGGUUUAGGUAAAGCCAGGAGUGAAGCAGGGAAGGAAGAAGGGAUUAGUGAAGAGAUCAGCAUGAGGCAGGUUGUACAAGUAGGAGCUUCAGACUGAAGGAAUACUAUUGGGUAGAGGAGGUGGGCCCAGGAGACUGGAGAAGGCAGGAGAACAGGAAAGAGAGAUCGGCAUGGAGAAGCAGAAGCAUGUACCAUAUGACCGCAGGCACAUUUAUACAAGUAAGGUAGCAAGAAUCCCCAACCCGCAGAAAGGUCAUCUUCCAAAACAUGGUCAAAAAUGCUAAAACAGUAUCUGGUACAUCAUGUCUGGGCCAGAAAACUUAGUUCUACUCCCUUCUAACAUUUGCCAUUUUCUCUAAAACUGCCUUUCUUCAGAAAGUUAGAGUUUGCCAGCUCAAUCCAGUUCUCCACUGGACCUGAUUUGAGCAUUCUGGUCAUUUUAGGACUAGGAUAAAUGAGAAAAUACUUGAUUACACUAAUGAUGAACGCAAACAUGUUUUUCAGCACACUUUUUAUCAUUUCUGUUAUUAUAAGUCAGUUUUGCCAUCGGAAAGAUUUUUUCCCCCUGAAUUUCUGAAAAGCUUGGUGUGUAUCAUAG